UCCAAAAGUUUGAAUACUGAAGGGAUUUAUUUGCAACUGGGCAGUUUCUUCCACGGCUUUUUGCGACUGACACAAUGACAUAGGUAAAACCACAUCUGUAGUCACUCUGAAUGGAUUAGCAGCGUAAUCCAACCAUAGUUAAUGAUCCUCGUCCUCCACCCUGUAUCACGAAGCAACUUCAAUUUAGUCUUUCUCUCUUUGAGUUACCUGACUUCCCUGAGCGUAACCUUUGUUAUCCUGGAUAACCGGUAUCACAAAGCUGGUUAUCAACUGGCUCACAUUUUGGCACUAUGUCACAGUUUUUGUCUCUAGUUCUCUAUUCUGUCAGGAUUUUACUGUGUCUACCCCAGAGGUCGAUGCAUCGAAACCAUCCUCUGCUAACAGUGUUUUACUGGCAGCUGGGCGGUUUCUUCCACGGCUUUUUGACUUUACCCAGUGACAUGGGAAGCUGGUUAUCAGCUGUUAAAAAAAUAAAUGUCCAUAUUCCAAGGGAAAUCUGCAUCCACUACAGCACUGGAUGUUAGAAAUAGAAACAUUUGUGAUUUUAACAGUUAAACAACGAUUGUUAUGUUGUAUAAUACCCAACAUUGUGCUUCCCAUAGUGUUGCGUCAUAGUGGACGUCACUGGGUUUCCUCAGAACUGGCCAACGUACGGGACGUGAA